UACGGGGGGAGCAAGCGUUGUUCGGAUUUACUGGGCGUAAAGGGCGCGUAGGCGGUCAGCACAAGUCAGUUGUGAAAUCUCCGGGCUUAACUCGGAAAGGUCAACUGAUACUGUGCGACUAGAGUGCGGAAGGGGCAACUGGAAUUCUCGGUGUAGCGGUGAAAUGCGUAGAGAUCGGGAGGAACACCCGUGGCGAAGGCGGCCAUCUGGACCAGUACUGACGCUGAGGCACGAAAGCGUGGGGAGCAAACAGG
rnacentral:rRNA from 1 species